AUAAAACACGAGAUAUAAACCGUUGAACAUUAUGUUUAGACCUACUAGUUUACACGUGUACCUUCUUGUCAUACUAGUAAGCUACCACUCAGCUAAUUCUGCUAGGUGCACAGGGCAUGCAACAUGUAAAUAUGUUGACGAAAAAAUGGAAGAAUUGAAAAACAAUCUAGGAUAUGUUGGUUGUUUCAUUGAUGAUAGGAACAGACUUUUCGACACAAGGAAACCUAACAGCGCAAAUAUGAGUCUUAGAAAAUGUCGGGAGCAGUGUCGCAACUACAUAUAUGUAGGACUACAGAAUGGUAAAGAAUGUUUCUGUGGCAACGCACUGAAUGUUAACAAGUAUCCACCAAAACAAGAAUCGCAAUGCCAACAUAAAUGUUCAGGAGAACGUAACAGAAUGUGUGGAGGCCAUUGGAAGAUGUCUA